rnacentral:lncRNA from 1 species
GCAUAUGAAGGUUCCCAGGCUAGGGGUCAAAUCAGAGCUGUAGGUGCUGGCCUAUGCCACAGCCACAGCAAUGCCAGAUCUGAGCUGCAUCUGUUACCUAUACCACAGCUCAUGGAUCCUUAACCCACUGAGCAAGGCUAGGGAUCAAACCUGUGUCCUCUUGAAUGUUAGAUUUGUUUCCACUGAGCCAUGACAGGAACUCCUGUUACUUUUUAAUAUGAUUCCAGGCACUUUCUAUGAUCUUAUUUAUUUUAUUAAAAUCUCACAAUGAUAAGACUAGAAAAUGUCAAACUUAAGAUUUUAACCCAGCUUAUUCAGACUCCUAUUGUCAUGUUUAUUAUUAUUUUUUUCUUCCUAUACAGAUCCUAGUUCACUUGGAUAAUUGGGAAUGCAUAGUUCAGUCACUGUCAUUUGAACUAGGUACGCCUUAAAGGAAAGUGAAAAUGUAGGUAGAUUGAAAAUGUGAAACAUCAUAGACACUACAGCUUGGUCGUCAAACUUGGGAAAAGGCAAUAAGGCAAGAAAUGUUCCACAAAUAUUAUGAAAUAAAGUUGACAAUUUAAAAAUUUAUAAAAAUAUUCUAAAAUUAAUGAAAAUAAUCAUUUGGGGGAAAUGAAUGUUUCUGCUCUCUUAUAUAAAUCCUGAGAAUUUUUAAGAGGAAAUAGGAACAGUAACAUCUCUUAUAUCCCAGGAUACAAUUUGGAAGUUAAUUAAUUUUACUUAGCAAUUUAAACAAAUCACAAUAGCUUUCUUAGAAUGUUGAGUUGUUCAUUAACUUGUGUUUGAUACCAAUUUCAAAAGCUUAUAUUAUUAUGUAGUUCAAGAGCUUUAAUAUCAACUAGUUUAUUCCCUGGUAAAGAGAUAACAUGCAUUUGGAAUUAUAAAAAUAAAAAAAAUACAACUGUGUAUUAUAAUCACCAGAGAUGAAAAAACAAUUAUUUACUUUCUUUGUAAUUGCAUUUGAAAGCUUCAGAAAAAAAUAAAUAUUUAGAUUGUUUGCUCUUCAUGUUUCCAACAUCACCUAAAACACAGGAGCACAAAUAUAAAAAAUAAUUAAGGUCUGCUUUCUGAUAAUAGACAAUUUACAGCCAUGUUUAUAAAUAUACAAGCUUCUUCAAAUGAGAGUAAAAAAUACCAAAACAUUCUUGUAGUUCCAUGUUUAUGUCACUAUGGUACCAUAAACUUCGGCUGGACUACUCUUUGUUGUUAGAGAUUACAAGACGUUCAGGAGACUAUAGGUCCAAAAUCUAAGGCUCAGAUAAACCUGCCAAAAUUGAGAGAGAGAGAUUUUGAGAGAAGAAAGAGAAAGAGGAAAAUCACCUUGGUUAUCCUGGGUGUAAGUGGAAAGGGAUAGCAGGGAACAUGAUAAUAAUUAACAUUUAAUCCUCUAGUCUAGUUUUUACAUGUAAGUAAGAAUGCCAUUUCUACCCCUUCUUGUUAAGAGUUUCUAAUAAAUACUGGGUUUGAACAAGCGGAGUUUAGUUUUCUUUAUUUAUCCAGUUCAAUAGCUAAUGGAGAUUAUGUUUACAUUAUUAAUAAAGAGAAACAGUCUUCAACAAACUCAAAUUGUAUUAGGUAAUUACCACUGCAAAAUAAUGUUCUAAUGGGUUACUCGGGGAUCAGUUUUGACACCCUCUUUCUUUAUAGAUAUAUACCCUAUGUGUUUGUACAUAAGAGCUUCAAACUUCAUAGAAGCACUAUUCACAAUAGCCAAGACAUGGAAACAACCUAAAUGUCCAUUGAUAGAUGAAUGGAUUAAGAAGAUGUGGUACAUAUACACAAUUGAAUACUAAAAGGGACUGAAAUAAUGCCAUUUGCAGCAACAUGGAUGGACUUAAAGAUUAUCACACUAAGUGAAGUAAGUCAGAAAGAGAGAGACAAAUACCAUAUGAUAUCACUUAUAUGUGGAAUCUAAAAUGUGGCUCAAAUGAACCUAUCUACAGAACAGAAACAGACUCACAGACUGGAGAACAGACUUGUGGUUGCCAAGGGGGAGAUGGAAGGAAAUGGGAUAGAUUGGGAAUUUAGGUUUAGUAGAUGCAAACUAUUAUGUUUAGAAUGGAUAAUAAAUGAGGUCCUACUUUAUAGCACAGGGAAGUAUUUCCAGUCUCCUGUGAUAGAACAUGAUGGAAGAUAGUGUGAGAGAAAGAAUGGGUGUGUGUGUGUGUUGACUGGGUCAACUUAGCUGUACAGCAGAAAUUGACAUAGUACAUCAACUAUAUUUUAAUUAAUUUUCUAAAAAGUAAAACAAAUAAAAAACUUCAAAACAAAAAUACAAAUAUUAUAUUGUUAUUCAAUGAUCAUAAGCCACUGCAUUGAACAACUGUAGCUGACUUUAGGCCAUCUAUGGGACGAGGGAGGAGGAGGUUGAGGAGGAGUCAAGUGAAAUGUACUGGAAACUAUUUUAUCUCUGGCACCAAGUCACUGACCCAGAAUUAAAAUCAAAAGAAAGCCUUCUUCCUAUCCAUUGAUUCCAGGAGAAAACAAAAGCCAUGUUCACUAAAUUCCUCCCAUGAGACUCUUCGUCUUGUAAGAAAACCUGUAAGCAGUUAUAGCAUAUCUGGGCUCACAAUCUGAGUCUGGCUAGCACCAAGGCUGAGUCACAGAGCUACAGAGGUCUCUCCAUCAUCAGUUACCUCUAGCCCCUCCCCUAAUGCUCCUUCUCCCUGUCCUUAGAUCCAUCGAGUUCUGGUCACUGAAGGUACCACAUUUACCUUCCUCAAUAUAAUUUAUUACCAUCUUAUUAUAAAGUCCAUGAUUAUCAUUUACAAUACAAUCAGAUACUUUGUCUCCCAGGGGAAGAGAUAUUCCCAGUAGGGAUACUCAUAAUAUCAGUCUUUAGCAGCCAAUACCUGCCUCUCUUCCUUAGUACCUCAGCUUUGCGGGACAGCUACUACCUAGGCCGGUGGUUUCCAACCUUAUAAAAAUAUGUUUUUACCUGAGAGCUUUCUCUGGCUGCAGGAGCAUGAUCAGUUUUACGUCCAAGACAGAGAGGAAGUCCCAAGAAGAUCAUGUUCCAAAGGAGGCAUUUAGUGGACUAUAUGCUAUCAGAGAACAUAGUAUGAUUUUCCUUUAACAUAUAACAGUGACUGACUGCCCACUGACCUUUGUGCCCUUUUCAUGUUGACAAAUUGGAGUUUUAGAUAAAAAGUUUACAUGCAUGUUAUUAUCAUGCUUGUGAUUUUUGACAUUGAUUAUUAUAGGGAACUAGCAGUGCUCUUACAUAAUGGAAAUACAGAAGAGUACAUCUGUGAUACAAGGUAUUUGACUGUUUCAUGAGAUCCCUAUGUCCAGGGAUAAGAGUGUAUAGAAAGUUAUAACAACCAGGGCCUAACAAGGACCCGGUAACCUAGAACUCAAUCCUUACUCUCGCAUUUUAUGUCCUAGAUCUAUGUCACUUUACUGAUCAAGCAAUCCAGAUGAGUAGAGGUGCUUGGUACAUAUGAAGAAACUGAAAGAAUUGCUAGAUGUAAGAUUGAAUAUUAGUUAUGUUUUUAUAAUUGACGGUCAUGUUAAACUCUAGCUUUACUACCUCUUUUGUGGCAGAUCUUAUUUUCUUAGGAAUCAUGACCAUCUCUUACCUUGAAGAAACAAUGAAGUGAUAAGUGGAUUUAAUGUCUAAAUGGUGCAAGGUAUAGAUUGCAGGAUGAACCUAAGAUAUGCUAGAUUCUUCACUCAAAUCCCCUUAGUUCAGCCUAGAAGAUAACUGUGAAUUUCGUAGAGUUUCACUAUAUGCAAUAACUUCCUAUAUUAUGUACCUAUAUCUCUCUGUUUGAUAGUUUUUUCUGGCUAUAUAGCAAGAUCAACCUGCUGCAGGACAGUUUGAAAGUGCUGAGGGGCUAAUAAUUAAAGUAGCAACUUUCAAACAAUGAGGAUAAAUGCUGGUGAAUAACCAACUAAACAUACUCAGCCAUAUUCUGUAAUAUUUUCAACACAGUUACUCAUUGACAUUAAAACCUGGUUCCUGCAGUUGUUAUUAAUGUGUGUAUAAUGGUCAUUAACAUAUCUUUUAUUGGUUAUCACUUCUUACCAAUCUCACUUUCCUGCUCUCUCACCAUGCUUCUGGACUAUCUCCCAAAUAAACUCAGCACAAAAUCACUUCUCUUAGGGACUAUUUUUUAAGGAACAAAAACAAAGGCAUUAUCAUCAUGUAACUUGUGGACUCGGCUAACCAAGGCUACUAACUUAUAUAGAAAUAUUUGGUUGAACUUUCACUACAUUUACAUUACAUAAAAUGAAAAUAAAAUAUUCAUAAUUUACAGACAAAAGUACUUUAGAAAGAAAAAACUCUUAUUUAUGGCUGCAGAACUAUUAUCAGAGCUAAAUUCAUGAAAGAGGUCAAGCUAUUAAAUGCAUAACCAGACAAGAACAUGACUCUUAAUAAAGAAAACGAACAUUUUGAAUGAACCCAAAAAGCAACUUGCCAGAAAAGGGCUCCUGUUAAGGGCAUUGACAGGACUUUGAGGUCACAGAGCCAACUCUACAUCAAAAGUACAUGUUCUUUGAGUUAUAUUUUCAAUAGAUUUUUUACAUUUACGUUGUGUAUCAAGAUAGCUCCCAGGAGUGAAGGUAAUAGUUUGCUACAGAUAGAAAGCAAAACUGUUUCCUGGGGAGACCAAGGCCAUAAAUUAAAUUCUUUGGCUUUAGCACCUGGUAUGUCUGCUCUUAUCAUUUGACCCUUGCCCACAGGCUCAGCUCUGCCCACAGUUUAGGAUCAAGCAUGCUUCAAGUCUGGACAAAUUUAGAAAACAUGAAUUCAGUUGCACAGGGUGGUGACUACAAACACACACUUGCUACCAGUCUUUUGUCUCAGAAUAGCUUCAUUCUGUCUCAUUGCCAUGACUCACCCCCCACCAGUGCACUAAGGCUGCUCUCCCUAGUCACAAUAACUCUGAAGAUAAAAUUUCAUGCUCUCUCUUCACUUCUUUUUCUCAGAUGUCCCCGUGGUUCCUACUUUUUGAAACUUGUUUCUUCCUCUUGAUCCAAUCUUAGUCCUUCUAUUGAAUCACUCAAUGACAGUCCCUGUCUUUUCUGAAUUUUUGCUUCAUUUCUUAUCCUGCUUUAUCCCAGAAAUAUAGGAAUGUAUGUUACCUAUUGUAUAUAUUAAGUAAAAUAUGGACAAAAGAAAAAGAACCAUGAAGAGGCAAGAACAUAGCAGAAGAAAAAUCAAAGAUCAGGAUACUUAUUGCAAUUAAGCCCAUUAUAAAGAUCUGAGCAGACAAAGGGUCCUUCUCUAUUUUCUGCCUCUGCAAUUUCACCUACCCUCCCUAUCUCACCUAGGCAGAUGUCUUGCAAAUGUGAGUCUCUUUUACCAACUUUUCACCAAGCUACAGACCUGUAUUUUCAAAAGGUUGCUAAAUGACACCAAAAUGAUCAUUUGCCUCAUUUCAAACUCAGCUUGGUCCACAGUGAACAUAUUUUCUUUUUGUUUUUAUUUAGCCUCAAAUUUGAUCACUCAGUUACCAGGUAAUGCAACACCUAUGAUCACCAAAGCAUAUUCCUAGCUUUGGGUGAUACAAUGGUAAACAGAAUUCAACUGCCCUCAAGGAGGUUGGUGGUGUUUGCACCAAUCUGCCUCAUGAGUCCACUCAUCAGAGUCACCAGAGAAACCACAGAACUACUGAUGUCACCCUCAAAGAUCUGCACUGGGUUGAGCCUCCACAUCUUCAGCAUGACUGAGAGCCAGAAUAAGACAACCUCUCCAUCACCCAAAAAUUGGACACCAGGACAUUCUAUCCAGACCAGAAGAGUAUGUCUGAGCCAAAACAAGUUAAUAGAGACAGUGAGGAACAGGGCCUGCCCAUGAACCUAGCCAGUGAAAAACAGUAUGUUCAGCCUGAGCAAAGAUAGCACAUAUAAAGAACUUAACCAUGAAGGCAUAUUUGUUAUCAAGCAAAAAUUAAAGGUGAAAGUCUAGUGCACACAAACCAACAGCAAGUUCUUCUCUAUGUAUGUUAACAUUGUUUCUACUGUUUUCUACUAGGGCAAUAUCUUUCCUUCUUUGCCUCUGUGUUCCAGGCAUCUGAGCAUUAUCUCACCUGAUAGAUUUGAAUCCCUCAGAUCUGUACUUUGCAACCACCUUAUCAUAUGUGAAUGUCCUUGACAAUGCAUACUGUGAUAGAGUCAUGACAUGGUAGAUAUUUGGUGCAAACACAGAAGUUAAUUCAACAUACAAUCCUAGAUCUUAAAUAGUAUGUAAAAUCCUGGGCUGUUUCUUUAUGGUACAGCCUGUGACCAUAAGUUCCCUUCAGCAGAGGGGCCUGGGGUUGGGUGGGAAAGUGGUAGAUUUUCUCUAUCUUAAACCAUAAUUAAAGUAUGAAUUCAGUUCAAAAAAAUUUUAAUUCACAGAUUUGUAUACUAGUGUCUCAGGCAAUCAAAGAUGGUAUUAUAGAUACUGCUGUAGAAAUGUGUUUAUAUGAAGUUGCCUUCCUAUGCUGAUAG